GGGGUUAAAACUGCAAAAAAAGAACGAAAGUUCAAGUGUGUGUAGUGAAAGAAUGUCAAACUACUAUGAUAUUUUUGAAUAUACAAAAUAAUUAUUUGGUAUAUUUAAGUGGGAACUUAAAUGUCAGUUUAGCAUAUAAAUAGGCAUGAAAGUUAAAACAUUUUAAUUUAAAGUUGUAACUUGUAGUUAAUACGUGGCAAAGCAUAUGACUUCAUGUUAAUUUUGGUAACCCACUAAAUCAAAAGUAUCUCUUUAGUGGGAGACAUAUGGACCCACAACCCACAUGCACAUUACUUUUAACCAGCAGUCCUUUAACAAAGGUUUGGAUAAAAGAAAGCAGGAAUUAGCAGCAGUAGUCAAAGCCUAUAGUCUUGGUUAGUGGGAGACAUAUGGACCCAUAGGCCACAUGCACAUCACUUUUAACCAGCAGUAAUCGCUAAAGGCCUGUUUGGAUAAAAGAAAGCAAUAAUCCUUGGCAGCAGCAGUCAAAAAAGCAGAAUCUGAAAUAAAAGAAGGAAAAAAAAAUUGAGCGGCAGCAGUUAACAAAGCAGAAUACACCAGAAAUAAAGAAAGAAGAGAAUUAGAGAAGAAGAGCAGAAAAAGCAUACCAGAGUAGCGCGAGUUGCCGAAGUCAAAGUCGUUUUCUCCCUCUCUGACUCUCUGUUGCUGACUUGCUGCUCUGCUCUUGCUAUCUCUCUGUUGCUCUCCCCCCUCAGUAGUCUGUACUUGUUGGCUUGUUCCGAUCCAUCGAUUAGUUUUUAGACUCCUUUUUUUUCAGCUUCAAACCACACCUGCAAUGUCGACCGCUUUGAACUUCAGUCGUCCAAGUCGCCUUUGUUAGCUGAGCGCUCGACUUUCUCCCCUCCCACUAAGUUGCCCAGACGCCUUCAUAAUUUUCACCGACUGGACGCCUAAGCGACGCCUAGGCGACGACUUGAUAACAAUGUUUGCACGGGCAUAUAACGGACAAACAUGUAAUCUAUGAUUAUGGCAAUAUACUGAAUAUAAGAAUAUGAAGGGCAGUAACACAUAAAAUAAUGAAAAUAUUAUGUAAAUAAUGCAAAACAAUCAACCACUCAAACAGAGGCCAUAUGCAUGACACUUCAGACUCGAGCAUAUUAUGCAUGCCUUUCAACUAGAACUACAAGAUCAAUAAACUAACCCAGACUAAUUUUGCAUAGAUGCAAACAAAUCUUUAACCGAAGGGUCAUUUGGAUCAACUCCAGGGAGCUGUCAAACCAACAAAGCACCAUAAAAAUCUUAAGGAGAUAAUUCUAUUAUUACAAGUCGUCACUUCUUUAGUUGAUCGAACCCACGCACACAAGUUGACAAGAAUAAGGAGAAAAUAAUGGUUGAGUGUUCCAUAAUACUAAUAGGUGAAAAUGGCAUCUUAGAAACAUACCGAAGCAAAGGAUAGAUGACACAAAUGAUUGGUCUGCCAACAAAUUACUCAUAUCUGUCUGGCUUGAUUGAUCUCUCGCACCUUCCUGCAUAGAUAAUUGGAGAGCUGCAACUAGUAAAGACAUGAAAUCAAACAGCUGAAGAGGGAAGAGGGGGAAUAGAUGAUAUUUGCCUAGGUGUAGUCGUGUAGAAGACUCUAAAAGUAGGGUUGUCAGAUAUUCUCAUUGACCUAGUAUUGACCUAGUGAACCGUAUAUUAGUACUUGCAUACCCAAACAUGAUACUCACGCGUACCAAUACUCUAACUUUAGUUUACUAAAAUAUUUCUUUAAUAUUUUAUCUAUAAUUGCACAAAAUAUCAAUAUUAUAAUAAUGGUCUCAUAUUGUUUAGCGAGGAGUAUCGACAAAUCUUGCUGAGAGUAUUGGAUUUAUAACUUGAAUGACAUUUAUACUAAAUUAUCUAUAAAACAAGACAACUAAAAAAAUUUCUGUAAACAUUGGUUUGCUACAUUCAAAUUCUAAAAGAAUUUCCAACCAUAAAAACUUAUAUAAAGUACCCUAUCGUAUCGCGUUUCAGCUAGACUACAUAGCUGUUCGUACCACGUACCGAACGAAUCACAUUUCAGGUAACACUACAGUCUAAAGUAAUUCAAGGAUCCUAUGUUCCAUAUAUAUGCUUUAGAUUCAGCAUAGCUAAGUAAUUGUAUGCGACAUGCUAGUAAUUUCAGGCCUCAAUUGGUAUGAAGGAAAAAAAAUUCUCAAAAAUGGUUAUCUCAUUACUUUAAUAAAUCUCUGAUAGUGAAAAUCUAGAAAUAUUUAUCGUAAAGCGUUUGUGGUAUGUGAAGAAUAUUGUUCAAAGAUCUUAAUUUUAGUCAAGUAGAUAAGCCUUAUAUAUUCUUUUACUAAUUCUUUGAGGGUGGAGAAAAAGAUUACUGCACCAUGAGUAAUGAAUGAAAUACCAACUCUACGUGAUAAAUCAUAAAUGAAAUAUGAACAAAUAUGUGCACCAAAGGCCAUAAAUUAUCAGUAGAAACGACAUUCCAUUUUCCACUCUCGAUUCCUAAAGAAAUAAGGCCUCAGUGUUUUGGGCAAUUUUCUGCACCCAAGAAAUAAAUUUUGGUAUAACAACAUGUAUGGCAAUUUCCUUCAGCUGUAUUCAUAUUAUCUGACUAUUAUAUUUCAGGUACUGAAACCACAAAGACGUUCUCCAGAAGUUGGGUGAAGCAAUGGGUCUUGCGGUUCUAGGAGAUGCUGACACUUUUGCUGAAACCUCUGGGUUAGAUGAAACUGAUGAAGUGGAAAAUGAGGAUGAAUCCAUUGUUCAUCACACUGCUAGUGUUGGUGAUGUGGAGGUAACUCAGUUCUGUGUUUACUCUUGUCCUAGGUUCCAUUGGUUCAUUACAACUUACAAAUGUAUUGACAUUUUUUAUAAUAAUUUUAAUCAAAGUCAAAAUGUGGAAGAAUUUUUUUCGUCGAAGUAGUAUGAACUAUCACUCCUCUCGCAUUCUUUUUCCUUUCUAACAAAAUUCCCUCUUUUUAUGGAAGUAAAAAGUAGGUGGAUUAACUAAUUGCUCGUCUUUUGUUGCUUGGUAAUUAUUACUAGCUUUUACCAUUUUUUUAGUUCUCGAGAUUAUGAGUUCAAGUACGUUAUUGGUUAUGAGUUUGGUUGUUUUUACAUACAUAUAUACUUGUUUAUCACAAUUGUUUUGUAUUUACUAUUUAUGUAGUUGAAGUGACAGAGAUUUAUCAUGAAGUACUAAACCAACAAGUUCGUUCAUCUUUUUAACUUGUUUGUACUAAACCAAAAGGGUCCUAAGAUUUCCUGUUUGUUCUUUCAUCAACAUGUAUGGAUCAACAUGUGAUUGAUUUUCAGUACAUAGCACGCCCUCUCCAUCACUGUAUGAUCGAGUUUAUAGGAAAUUAAAAGGAUCCCCACUGGAUAGGAAAGGGAAGUAUUCUGACAAUAAUCAAAUACAUAAUUAAAAUUUUGAAACCCCAUUUAAUUCUGUAAUCAGCACAAAGAUGAACUCAUAAUACACAUCAAAUGAGCUCAGCAUUAAACCAGAGCAAGAACAGCUUAACCAAAAAUUCUCUAAAUCCCCAAUUUAUACAUAACAUCAUAAAUUUCUUAAAUUGAAACCUAAAUAUGUGUGUAAGUUUACUUUAGAUUUAAUUUGUGUGUGAAAGCAAAAUUACAAGCUAUUUGUGCGUGUUAGUGUGUGUAAAAUUGGGAAAAGGUCAAAUUGAAUACUAACCGUUACCUACAGGUAAUAGAAGAUAACAAUGGAAGAGAAUGAGGCAAAGCAAGCCGCCGUUGUCGUCGAAAAUUGCAGAAAUUGGAAUUGGGGCUUCUGUUUUUCUAAACUAGGGUAAUAAUGAGUGGGAGGAGAGAAAGGGGAAAUAGAGUACUGAGGCGGAGGAGAGUGGCUGAGGAGGGUGAGAGAGGAGGAGGAUGAGGAGGCAGCAGGAGAAUGAGAGAGGAGGAGGCGGUAGAUCGAGUAUCAUUUCUCAAGUUGAUCGCUC
rnacentral:lncRNA from 1 species